rnacentral:sRNA from 1 species
CGAAAGCUUUAAUCCACACACGUAUCGACACGAUUUCCUGGGUGCCUUUCGCCGCGUGCGGAUGGUUGGAGAUUGGGAUGCGUGGAGGCCUAACC